rnacentral:rRNA from 1 species
CGGAGGAAAAGAAACCAACAGGGAUUGCCUCAGUAACGGCGAGUGAAGCGGCAAAAGCUCAAAUUUUAAAGCUGGCAUCUUCGGUGCCCGCGUUGUAAUUUUGUGAGGCAUCUCCGGGUAGGGCGCCGGCCUAAGUUCCUUGGAACAGGACGUCACAGAGGGUGAGAAUCCCGUGCUUGGCUGGCUGUCCCCGCCCACGUGAGGUGUCUUCGACGAGUCGAGUUGUUUGGGAAUGCAGCUCAAAAUGGGUGGUAAAUUUCAUCUAAAGCUAAAUAUUGGUGGGAGACCGAUAGCGCACAAGUAGAGUGAUCGAAAGAUGAAAAGCACUUUGAAAAUAGAGUUAAAAAGUACGUGAAAUUGUUGAAAGGGAAGCGCUUGAGACCAGACUUCGGUAGGGGGUGAUCAGCCGUCCUUCUGGGCGGUGCACUUGCCCCCCCUCCGGGCCAGCAUCGGUUGAGGCGGCGGGAUAAAGGUCCCGGGAAUGUGGCUCCCUCACGGGAGUGUUAUAGCCCGGGUGAAUGCCGCCAGCCUCGACCGAGGACCGCGCCCGCAAGGGCUAGGAUGCUUGGCGUAAUGGUCUUCAGCGACCCGUCU